rnacentral:rRNA from 1 species
GACGAACGCUGGCGGCGUGCUUAACACAUGCAAGUCGAACGAUGAACUUGGAGCUUGCUCUGGGGGAUUAGUGGCGAACGGGUGAGUAACACGUGAGUAACCUGCCCUGGACUCUGGGAUAACUUCGAGAAAUCGGAGCUAAUACCGGAUAGGACCUUGCACCGCAUGGUGUGGGGUGGAAAGUUUUUCGGUUUGGGAUGGACUCGCGGCCUAUCAGCUUGUUGGUGAGGUAAUGGCUCACCAAGGCGUCGACGGGUAGCCGGCCUGAGAGGGUGAACGGCCACACUGGGACUGAGACACGGCCCAGACUCGUACGGGAGGCAGCAGUGGGGAAUAUUGCACAAUGGGCGCAAGCCUGAUGCAGCAACGCCGCGUGCGGGAUGACGGCCUUCGGGUUGUAAACCGCUUUUAGUAGGGAAGAAGCCUUCGGGUGACGGUACCUGCAGAAAAAGGACCGGCUAACUACGUGCCAGCAGCCGCGGUAACAC